GACUCGAUAGCUCAGCUGGAUAGAGCAAUAGCUUCCGAAGCUAGAGGUCGUGGGUUCAAAUCCCUCUCGAGUCGCCA
rnacentral:tRNA from 1 species